CAUUUGCUGCGGCAAACUAUCAAAGUUUAGGCAUUUGAAGCGUAAAUGAAUUGAUAUUUUACCAGUAAUUCGUGAGACACUUGCACAUAUUGAAGCAUGGAACAUGUUUUGUUCUAAUGUUGGUCCGGCGGUAGCUUCUUAAAGCUUGUGCGCUCCUGAAUUUUCCUUGAUUUUUUAUAUUCCAAAGAUACUUGCCUGAUGAAGUGACAAAUAACCACAAAUAUUCUGUGUGUUUGAUUGUGAAUAAAUUGAAUUAAGGAGCGACUGUAAAAAAUGGUUAUUCUAAGUUAAAUUACACUGUGAAAAAUAUUCUUUGUGAAUCUCGACAUAUGGUUGAACAAAAUGGAUUGAAUGCAUGUUUAAGUAUUUAACGCUUACAAAAAUAUAAAUAAUUAUAGUAUCCAAAGAUUACGUGUGUUAGGUCCUGAAAUUAUCUGCCAUAAAUCCAACAUCGACUGUUGACUGCCUCGAGGAUAUUGAAAAAAUGACAAGUCCUGGCGAACCUUUUGCGUGUCUGGGACGAAACUCUGAAAAAAUGCCGGUUACCGAGACAGCGACGCAAAAUAUUGCCACUUCAGUGAAGCAAGGCUCAAAAAAUACAAAAAAUCCUUCAGCGAGCCGCAUUUUAAAUGGACACAUCCAGAGCAAACACGCGCGAUGGAUUCACGUCGAUGGAUUUAAUCCCUGCAACGGCGUAAAAAAUUCAAGGAACGUCGUCACAGGUCAACAAAAUGACCGAAAAGACAAAAAAUUUGAAAGGAAUCAUCGCUUAGAUGGAAAAAUUGCCAGUAAAAAUCAACGGAAAG
rnacentral:lncRNA from 1 species